GUCCUUGUAGUUCAACGGUAGAAUCUCACGUUGUGGCCGUGAAGAUCGGGGCUCGAUUCCCCGCAAGGACA
rnacentral:tRNA from 1 species